UCUCAUCGUUUCCGUAACGGUCUGAUCUUUCCAUAGAGUUGAUUAAAAUGUAUUAAUUAAUGCCUCCAAGUUAUUGAAGUGCCCGUUUAUUGAAGCAGCACUUCCUCUUUGUGGAUCAACUUCGCUUCGACUGGAUGGAUGCAUUCGACAUCGGGUACUUCGUAUGCCCACGUGGCUUCAACACAAGAUCAACCAAAUCCAGGCAAAGCGGCAUUGGUCCGUCUUAUUCGGUGCGGUAAACUUCCAGCAAGGACGCUCGCUUGGCUAGAACCGGUAGCUGCAGCGUGAAAUAAGUGCCAGGCAGUAGCGUUUUCUACCAAAUACGUUCAUAUAGAAAUUGAACAGGCAGGUCAGCUGCCUAUGGUUAAGUGGCUGACUACAUCUCAGCCUCGAGAGAAUGCAGAUAAUACUUUGAGUAACAUCGGACGAUCUUAAAGUGAUGGCC
rnacentral:lncRNA from 1 species